GAUGAAGAACGUAGCGAAAUGCGAUAAGUAAUGUGAAUUGCAGAAUUCAGUGAAUCAUCGAAUCUUUGAACGCACAUUGCGCCCGCCAGUAUUCUGGCGGGCAUGCCUGUUCGAGCGUCAUUUCAACCCUCAGGCCCCCAGUGCCUGGUGUUGGGGAUCGGCCCAGCCUUCCUGUAAGGCCGCCGGCCCCGAAAUCUAGUGGCGGUCUCGCUGUAGUCCUCCUCUGCGUAGUAGCACAACCGCGCAGGUGGAACGCGGCGGUGGCCAUGCCGUUAAACACCCCACUUCUGAAAGUUGACCUCGGAUCAGGUAGGAAUACCCGCUGAACUUAAGCAUAUCAAUAAGCGGAGGA
rnacentral:misc_RNA from 1 species